rnacentral:rRNA from 1 species
GGGCCCGCACAAGCAGCGGAGCAUGUGGUUUAAUUCGAAGCAACGCGAAGAACCUUACCUGGGCUUGACAUGUGCCUGACCGGCGUGGAAACACGUCUUCCCUUCGGGGCAGGUUCACAGGUGGUGCAUGGCUGUCGUCAGCUCGUGUCGUGAGAUGUUGGGUUAAGUCCCGCAACGAGCGCAACCCUCGUCGUAUGUUGCCAGCAUUUAGUUGGGGACUCAUACGAGACUGCCGGUGACAAACCGGAGGAAGGCGGGGAUGACGUCAAGUCAUCAUGCCCCUUAUGUCCAGGGCUACACACGUGCUACAUUGGCGUAUACAGAGGGCAGCGAUACCGCGAGGUGGAGCGAAUCCCAAAAAGUACGUCUCGGUUCGGAUUGUAGGCUGAAACCCGCCUACAUGAAGGUGGAGUUGCUAGUAAUCGUGGAUCAGCACGCCACGGUGAAUACGUUCCCGGGCCUU